UACAUGGGGUGCAAACGUUGCUCGGAAUUAUUGGGCGUAAAGCGCACGUAGGCGGUCUACUAAGUCGGAUGUGAAAGCCCUCGGCUCAACCGAGGAAGUGCAUCCGAAACUGGCAGGCUAGAGUACGAAAGAGGGCCGCGGAACUUCCCGGUGUAGAGGUGAAAUUCGUAGAUAUCGGGAGGGAACACCGGCGGCGGAAGGACGGGCCGGACC
rnacentral:rRNA from 1 species